rnacentral:miRNA from 10 species
GAACUGCUUCAGGAUCCUCAGUAAGACCAAGUUUGGUGCACCAUUUCCUUGUCUGUAGCCAUGUCCAUGGGCUCUUGAGUUUGCCACCUGGGUGAGGGCCUGCUUUUUC